GAUGAACGCUGGCGGCGUGCCUAAUACAUGCAAGUCGAGCGAAUGGAUUAAGAGCUUGCUCUUAUGAAGUUAGCGGCGGACGGGUGAGUAACACGUGGGUAACCUGCCCAUAAGACUGGGAUAACUCCGGGAAACCGGGGCUAAUACCGGAUAACAUUUUGAACCGCAUGGUUCGAAAUUGAAAGGCGGCUUCGGCUGGCACGUAUGGAUGGACCCGGGUCGCAUUAGCUAGUUGGUGAGGUAACGGCUCACCAAGGCAACGAUGCGUAGCCGACCUGAGAGGGUGAUCGGCCACACUGGGACUGAGACACGGCCCAGACUCCUACGGGAGGCAGCAGUAGGGAAUCUUCCGCAAUGGACGAAAGUCUGACGGAGCAACGCCGCGUGAGUGAUGAAGGCUUUCGGGUCGUAAAACUCUGUUGUUAGGGAAGAACAAGUGCUAGUUGAAUAAGCUGGCACCUUGACGGUACCUAACCAGAAAGCCACGGCUAACUACGUGCCAGCAGCCGCAGUAA
rnacentral:rRNA from 1 species